rnacentral:hammerhead_ribozyme from 1 species
GUACUGAUGACGAGUCGCAAACUAGGACGAAACAGCUGUCCAGUAC